AUUGAACGCUGGCGGCAGGCCUAACACAUGCAAGUCGAGCGGAUGAAGGGAGCUUGCUCCUGGAUUCAGCGGCGGACGGGUGAGUAAUGCCUAGGAAUCUGCCUGGUAGUGGGGGAUAACGUCCGGAAACGGGCGCUAAUACCGCAUACGUCCUGAGGGAGAAAGUGGGGGAUCUUCGGACCUCACGCUAUCAGAUGAGCCUAGGUCGGAUUAGCUAGUUGGUGGGGUAAAGGCCUACCAAGGCGACGAUCCGUAACUGGUCUGAGAGGAUGAUCAGUCACACUGGAACUGAGACACGGUCCAGACUCCUACGGGAGGCAGCAGUGGGGAAUAUUGGACAAUGGGCGAAAGCCUGAUCCAGCCAUGCCGCGUGUGUGAAGAAGGUCUUCGGAUUGUAAAGCACUUUUAGUGGGGAGGAAAAGCAGUAAGUUAAUACCUCGCUGUUUUGACGGUACCAACAGAAUAAGCACCGGCUAACUUCGUG
rnacentral:rRNA from 1 species